GAAAGUGUAGCAAUACAUGAGUAAAGCGGCGCACGGGUGAGUAACACGUGGAUAACCUGCCUCAAAGUGGGGAAUAACACCGGGAAACCGGUGCUAAUACCGCAUAUUCUGACGAGAUCUGUGGAUUUUGUCAGGAAAGGAGCAAUUCGCUAUGAGAGGGGUCCGCGGCUGAUUAGCUAGUUGGUGAGGUAAUGGCUCACCAAGGCUUCGAUCAGUAGCCGGUCUGAGAGGACGGUCGGCCACACUGGAACUGAGACACGGUCCAGACUCCUACGGGAGGCAGCAGUGGGGAAUUUUUCGCAAUGGGGGAAACCCUGACGAAGCAAUGCCGCGUGGAUGAUGAAGUAUCUCGGUACGUAAAAUCCUUUCGACGGGGACGAAGCCGCAAGGUUGACGGUACCCGUAGAAGAAGCCCCGGCUAACUCCGUGCCAGCAGCCGCGGUAAUACGGGGGGGGCAAGCGUUGUUCGGAAUUACUGGGCGUAAAGGGUGCGUAGGCGGCUUUCUAAGUCGGAUGUGAAAACUCUGGGCUCAACCCAGAGCCUGCAUCUGAAACUGGAGAGCUAGGGUUUUGGAGGGGAAAGCGGAAUUCCAGGUGUAGCGGUGAAAUGCGUAGAUAUCUGGAGGAACACCGGUGGCGAAGGCGGCUUUCUGGACAAAUACCGACGCUGAGGCACGAAAGCUAGGGGAGCAAACAGGAUUAGAUACCCUGGUAGUCCUAGCCCUAAACUAUGGAUACUUGCUGUGGGGGGGGGAUUGAAGCCCCUUGUGGCGAAGCUAACGCAUUAAGUAUCCCGCCUGGGGAGUACGGUCGCAAGGCUGAAACUC
rnacentral:rRNA from 1 species